CUCAACAGUGCCGACAGGACGGUGACCACAUAGCUUUGUGAAGCACCACGUCGCAUGUCUCCUGGGAAGACAGUUCCCACACGCCUCUUCAAGGAAUACGUUUCACCAAGUUAGCAAAGGCACUCACAAGUCCCUUCUGGGUAGUGGUGUUAACCGUGGCUGGAGAACAGCAGCAACCAGAGCUGGUGCCUACUGCUGUGGGGAGGAGGCACGCUAAUGCCACUCAGACAGUGUGGUGCGAGGAGCCUGCCCCAGGCCGGGCUGGGAGACAACCAGGAAAUCAGUGGGAGUAAGGUAUAUUUAGAGCCAUCCCAGUAUAUGCAAUUCAAAACAUUUAAUAUACUUUGAAACACAGGCCUCAGAACUGAUGUAUUAACUGCAUAAUAGCAGGAGGAUUAUGGAUCGGACCCAACACUACCAGACUCCCACUGAUUGCACUGAGCUUUGGAGCAGACUUGGCGAGAGGCUAUGAAGAUUGGAGGAUUGUGCCAUAUUGCUCUGAGCAUCUCCAGCUAUCCUUGAAGCCUGUGGCAGCAACCCAAGAUUUCUUUGGAUCAAGCCUUCACUCAUUCAGAAGCACCUUUCAUAGUCCACAGUAGGAGUGGUUCAGUGGAGCUAGAACAUGCAUAGCAGUUGCCAAGAAGCAUGUUAGGAGACUGGAUACCCAAAGCAGAGAGCUAUAAGCAGUAAGCAACCUGACAAGUCUGAGGCUGUCUAUGAGUAGCACAUUGAAUACUGACAAGCAAAAACAGACUUCAAGCUGUCAGGAGUGCUAAAACUCUAGGAUGGAGAAGAGUCACUUAACUUUUAAUGUUCAAAGGUUGUUUUUCCUUCCUCAUUUCUAUGUUAAGAAACACUGCCAAAAACAGUGACUGAUGCUGGUACAAGUAGGACAGAAAUGAA